AUACGUAGGUGACAAGCGUUAUCCGGAUUUACUGGGCGUAAAGGGCGUGUAGGCGGUCUUGCAAGUCAGAAGUGAAAUUCCUGAGCUCAACUCGGGCGCUGCUUCUGAAACUGCAGGACUUGAGUGCUGGAGGGGAUAGCGGAAUUCCUAGUGGAGCGGUAAAAUGCGCAGAUAUUAGGAAGAACACCGGUGGCGAAGGCGGCUAUCUGGACUGAUACUGACGCUGAGGCACGAAAGCGUGGGGAGCAAACAGGAUUAGAUACCCUGGUAGUCCGCGCUAUAAACGAUGAGUGCUAGGUGUCGGGGGUCAAACCUCGGUGCCGCAGUUAACACGUUAAGCACUCCGCCUGGGGAGUACGGCCGCAAGGUUGAAACUUAAAUGAAUUGGCGGGG
rnacentral:rRNA from 1 species